GAUCUACUUUCCUUUUAACAACUCUGACACUAAAGAUAUUUUCUUCCUUGACAAAUCUUCUAUGCUCUGUUUAGGGUCUCUUCAACUCAAUAGCAUAUGGCCUUAACAGCUCAGUCCGUAGAGCAAUUUACGAGAGAUUGGAUCUGUUACCUGAAUGGUCUCAAAGAUGGCUUCCUAAGAGCUCAAGGUCAAGAGGCCAACAACAAGACGACAGUGAAUUAGUCUCUCUAAAGAUUCAAGAUCAGCAAUAACAAUUUUAUGCUUGUACAGUCAUCUCAAUGAUUCUGCCGCCCUUUUCAUAAUUGGACCAGAUUGACAAUUGAUAACUACAUUGUGACAGACAGGGAUGCUCUCCAUUGCUUCAGCCCGGGUUUUGUGCUCACAUACGUUUACUGAUCCAUCUAUGCACCAUAUGCUAAUUGCUUGUUGCUCCUUUUUGAUUGCUCGAGCAUACUAAUGCACCUACUUUGUUAUUGAUACCGAAGAAUGUUAGUGUGAUCAAUAGAUUACAUAUGAUCUGAUAUGGGCUGAUGCUAAGUCUUCUGAUAUAGGCAAGGCAUACUGUAUGUUUAUUGAUGUAUCGAAACAGAGAACAUUUGUUUACUGAUUUAUUUGUUAUGUCUAUUCGAUCUACUACAGUUAUUGGCUCUUGCUACUUAUCUUCUCU
rnacentral:misc_RNA from 1 species